rnacentral:lncRNA from 1 species
GUCCUUCAUGGUUGGUUCAUGUAUAGUUUGCACAAUAGAAGAGAAAGAGAAAGAGAAAGAGGUGAGAGAGAGGAAAGAAAGUAGUGUUAAAUUGCAGCAGAUGAAAGGUGUUAGCAGUGGGCAUGGCGGCGUCACAGAGCUAUACAUUUAAUGCAGCAAAGGUGAAUCGACGACAAAGAAUCCAAGUGAAGUGAAAGAGGAGAGAGG